rnacentral:rRNA from 1 species
UACGUAGGGGGCAAGCGUUGUUCGGAAUUACUGGGCGUAAAGCGCACGUAGGCGGACCAGCAAGUUAGGGGUGAAAUCCCGGGGCUCAACCCCGGAACUGCCUUUAAAACUGUUGGUCUGGAGGUCGAGAGAGGUGAGUGGAAUUCCGAGUGUAGAGGUGAAAUUCGUAGAUAUUCGGAGGAACACCAGUGGCGAAGGCGGCUCACUGGCUCGAUACUGACGCUGAGGUGCGAAAGCGUGGGGAGCAAACAGG